rnacentral:rRNA from 1 species
UACGGGGGGGGCAAGCGUUGUUCGGAAUUACUGGGCGUAAAGGGCGCGUAGGCGGCCUGUUAAGUCGAACGUGAAAUCCCCGGGCUCAACCCGGGAACUGCGUCCGAUACUGGCAGGCUUGAAUUCGGGAGAGGGAUGCGGAAUUCCAGGUGUAGCGGUGAAAUGCGUAGAUAUCUGGAGGAACACCGGUGGCGAAGGCGGCAUCCUGGACCGAGAUUGACGCUGAUGCGCGAAAGCCAGGGGAGCAAACGGG